UACGUAGGGUGCGAGCGUUGUCCGGAAUUAUUGGGCGUAAAGAGCUUGUAGGCGGCUUGUCGCGUCUGCUGUGAAAGCCCGGGGCUUAACCCCGGGUCUGCAGUGGGUACGGGCAGGCUAGAGUAUGGUAGGGGAGACUGGAAUUCCUGGUGUAGCGGUGGAAUGCGCAGAUAUCAGGAGGAACACCGAUGGCGAAGGCAGGUCUCUGGGCCAUAACUGACGCUGAGAAGCGAAAGCGUGGGGAGCGAAC
rnacentral:rRNA from 1 species